UCAUACUUUUCCCGCGUAUAAGGUUAAUGUUCAGUGGGGUAUAUGAUAAAUUUCAGCGGGUGUAUGCCUUAAAUUUAAGCGGGUAUAUGGUUAAGUUCAGCGGGUAUAUGGUUUAUGUUCAGCGGGUAUUAUGGUUUAUUUUCAGCGGGUAUAUGCUUAAGUUCAGCCGGUAUAUGCUUAAGUUCAGCGGGUAUAUGCUAAGUCAUCUGGUAUGUUUCCGUUGGUUGAACCUGCGGAGGGAUCAUUACAGAGUUUUCUAAACUCCCAACCCAUGUGAACUUACCACUGUUGCCUCGGCGGCGCCCUUCUCCUUAGGGGGUGCGGGACCGCCGGUGGAAUACCAAACUCUUUUGAAUUCUUAGCACUUCUGAGUUAAAAACAUAAUAAGUUAAAACUUUCAACAACGGAUCUCUUGGUUCUGGCAUCGAUGAAGAACGCAGCGAAAUGCGAUAAGUAAUGUGAAUUGCAGAAUUCAGUGAAUCAUCGAAUCUUUGAACGCACAUUGCGCCCAUUAGUAUUCUAGUGGGCAUGCCUGUUCGAGCGUCAUUUCAAACCCUUAAGCCCUGUUGCUUAGCGUUGGGAGCCUGCUGUAAAAGGCAGCUCCUCAAAGUUAUUGGCGGAGUUUUAGCAAUCUCUAAGCGUAGUAAUUUAUUCUCGUUUCUGUAGUUGCUCUAGCCCCUGCCGUAAAACCCCAACUUUUCAGGUUUGACCUCGGAUCAGGUAGGAAUACCCGCUGAAUUAAAGCCAAUUACCCCCGGAAAAUUUUAAUAUAUACCCGGAGAAUUUACAUAUAUACCCGCAGAACUUAAGCAUAUACCCGCUGAACUUAAGCAUAUACCCGCAGAACUUAAGCAUAUACCCGCUGAACUUAAAUCAUAUACCCGCUGAACUUAAGCAUAUACCCGCUGAACUUCAUCAUAUACCCGGCAGAAAUAAAAUCUAUACCCGAUGAAAUUAAUCGAU
rnacentral:rRNA from 1 species